UACGUAGGGUGCGAGCGUUUGUCCGGAAUUAUUGGGCGUAAAGAGCUUGUAGGCGGUUUGUCGCGUCUGCUGUGAAAAUCCGGGGCUCAACCCCGGACUUGCAGUGGGUACGGGCAGACUAGAGUGCGGUAGGGGAGAUUGGAAUUCCUGGUGUAGCGGUGGAAUGCGCAGAUAUCAGGAGGAACACCAAUGGCGAAGGCAGAUCUCUGGGCCGUAACUGACGCUGAGGAGCGAAAGCAUGGGGAGCGAACAGG
rnacentral:rRNA from 1 species